UACGGAGGGUGCAAACGUUGCUCGGAAUCAUUGGGCGUAAAGGGCCAGUAGGCGGCCAACUAAGUCCGACGUGAAAUCCCCAGGCUUAACCUGGGAACUGCGUCGGAUACUGGAUGGCUUGAAUUCGGGAGAGGGAUGCAGAAUUCCAGGUGUAGCGGUGAAAUGCGUAGAUAUCUGGAGGAAUACCGGUGGCGAAGGCGGCAUCCUGGACCGACAUUGACGCUGAACGGCGAAAGCUAGGGGAGCAAACGGG
rnacentral:rRNA from 1 species